rnacentral:rRNA from 1 species
GACGAACGCUGGCGGCGUGCCUAAUACAUGCAAGUCGUGCGGACCUUGUUGAAGGCUUGCUUUUAAAAGGUUAGCGGCGGGCGGGUGAGUAACACGUGGGCAACCUGCCUGUAAGACUGGGAUAACGCCGGGAAACCGGGGCUAAUACCAGAUCGUUUUUUCCUCCGCAUGGAGGUAAAAGGAAAGGCGGCUUCGGCUGCCACUUACAGAUGGGCCCGCGGCGCACUAGUUAGUUGGCGGGGCAAUGGCCCACCAAGGCAACGAGGCGUAGCCGACCUGAGGCGGGGAUCGGCCACACUGGGACUGAGACACGGCCCAAACUCAUACGGGAGGCAGCAGGAGGGAAUCGUCCGCGAUGGACGAGAGCCUGACGGAGCAGCGCCGCGUGAGUGAAGAACGCCCUCGGGUCGUAAAACUCAGUUGGCGGGGAAGAACAAGUGACGUUCGAACAGGGCGGCGCCUUGACGGUACCCGGACAGAAAGCCACGGCUAACUACGUG